GCCAGUGCAUUCCUAGCUCCCCUUACACAGAGACAGACACAGUCAGAGAGAAGACAUGCUGGGUCUCGGCUCGGCUCUCCUCUGCGAGCAGGUGUAACGCUGGAUAUCUAUUGGUCUUGGGCCUGCAGGAAAAGGCAGACAGGGAAAAGCUAAAGGGCAAGAUGGUGUGGAGCUGUAGAGGGACUGAGGCGGGUGAAAGCAGCCGCGCAGCGAGCACUCUGAGCCGGCACACGGAGCGAGUGGACGCUGAUGGAUCACGAGAGCGGCCGCCGGAGGAGAGCGCGGCCGGAAAGAGCGCCUGCUCGCUGGGCGCGCAUGUAAGGAUCCGCCCGGGAGGCAGACGGAGCUCUGGAUGUGUCAGUCAAACUGAGUCUUUUGUAGGUUCUGUCCAGACCUGUGGGCUGAAUUCUCCUGAUUCGUCGUCUCGCGGAGGACCAGAUCUGCACAUUUGGGGACGUCGGUGUCAGCACACUUGAAGCAUCAACUUUGACCUCGCAGUAAAUGCAUAGUUUGGAGCCGUGCUAAAAUGGUCGUGCAUAUGGAAUUUACUAAUGCCAUUUUGUUCUGUGUGACUCAUUUCACCAAAAUAAACUUCAA
rnacentral:lncRNA from 1 species